GAUAAACGCUGGCGGUCUGCAUAACACAUGCAAGUCGAACGAAGCUCUUUGGAGCUUAGUGGCGGACGGGUGAGUAACGCGUGAGGAUCUGCCUUUAGGACUGGGACAACGAUCGGAAACGAUCGCUAAUUCCAGAUAUGCAGUUAGUGAAACGGAGCAAUCCGCCUAAAGAUGAACUCGCGUCCGAUUAGCUAGUUGGUAGUGUAAGGACUACCAAGGCAACGAUCGGUAGCUGGUCUGAGAGGACGAUCAGCCACACUGGAACUGAGACACGGUCCAGACU
rnacentral:rRNA from 1 species